GAAAUUAGAUAAGCUUUAACUAUAAAGAUCUCAUCUUUUCUAGAAGCGUCUACAUUUCUCUGGCAACUUCUUCUUCUUCUUUCUCCCAUCUCACGUUUCUCUCCUCUUCCAUGAAAGCUUCUCUCAAGCUUCCAUCACUCUCUCAAACUAACCUUAAUUUUCAUGCUUUACACACCCUGUUGUAGGGUUUUUCAUACUCUUUUACUCCUUCACCUUAAACAAACCCUUAAAAGUCUUUCUUCAAUACUUUCUCUCACCAGCUGAACUUUGUAGAGAGAGAAAGAGAGGUUUCAUGUUAGCUUGAGGACUCUUGGGAAGAAAUUUCAUUACAAUCCACCAAGGUGAGUGAUGAAUUAAGACUGGUUUUAAGUUGUUGAUGAUGGCUAGUAAUUAGAGUUAUGAGUUGUGUUAUUUGCUGAAAUUGUUUAUCUAUUUCUAGUGUUACUAAAGUAGAGAAACGAAAUAGCCAAUCAAAUGGUAAUUGGAAGAUAGAUAGGAAGGGCUAUUGAAGCUUGAUUUGGGAAACAGCUUUUGGAGUGAUAUUAAUGUAAAUUGGAUUGGCUGUGAUGUUUUUGUGCGUGAUAGGUUCCAACAAGGCCCCUCAGCCCCAUUUGGACCAUUAGGGAAGUUAGAGUCGAUUAAAGGUUCAACAAAUACUGGUGAGUGAACUUGCAUUAAAAGGUUUUGGGAUAUACACAUAUAUGUUUGAUUGAAUCCCCUAAAACGUUUUACUUGGUUCUUUCUUCAAAACUUGCACGGGAACAAGCCCUUAUGAAAUGUUUUUAUGUUAUGAAAUGGAUUGUGUGAUGAAUUCAUAUGUUUCUGUAUAAUGUUGAUAUAUAUAUACAUAUACUAUGUCAUAAAUGGUACCAUUAUGUGACAAAUGCAACCGUGCAUGUGCGGGGUGAGUGUGCACUUGCUAGUGAUGACGGUGGUGAGGGAGAUGGAUGGUGAUACUGCCCGUGUGCACGAUGUGGGGGGAUGCACACGAUUGCAUUAAUUGUGCACGAUGUGGAGGGAUGCACACGAUGACUCUGGCUAUGUGCACGAUGUGGAGGGAUGCACAUGAGCUGGAUGAGAUAGGAUGUCCGGCUAUGUGCACGAUGUGGGGGGAUGCACAUAAGCUGGGUGAGAUGGGGUGGUAUACGAAUUAGUAUAUGCUUAAAUAUAUGUAUAUGUAAUAAAAAGAUCAUGAUUAUAAUAUGUGAUUGUAUGGUAUGAUGAAUCUUGAAAAUUUCCCAUUGACUUGCAAAUUGAUUUUAUUGCGGUGAGAAACAUGUUGUUUAUACUGCCUUGCUUGGAUGAUUGUUGAAAAUUUCCUCUCUUUCCAAUUUCAUGCCGAACAUGGUUCUUUCAUCAUUAAAUGAUUUUACAACCAAGGGUUAAAUGGAGGGAUUUUAAUAAGAACUUGAACUAAGUUGCAUUGUGUCCAAAUAAGUGCAUCAUGAUUAUCAACUUUCCUUAUCAUUGCUUGUUCCCUUCUUAUGUUCACUCACUGAGUUUGUACUCACUGUUUUCAACUUCAUGUUUUCAGAUCAGGAGGCAGUUGGAACCUAGGUUGAGGUAUCCUUAUAGUUUUGUCGUUUUGGUAGGUAUCUUGGCAUUCAAUAGCCAUAACUUCACCUUUGUCACUCCGCUGGAAGCUUAGA
rnacentral:lncRNA from 1 species